GUAGAUGUUCAGGUGUUGAUCACCGGUCCACAGGUAUCCUGAGGUGUACCCUGCCGUACUGAGGACACUGGGAGGGUGGUGAACUUAAUCAGGGUACUUCACUGAUGUCUGGUGAAGGUGAAGAAUGACUUAUUCCGUCUUUGCGCAGUGCAGAGUUAUCUUCUCUUGAGAGCAGGUAUUGAUUGUUACGUCAUUGGUUUG
rnacentral:lncRNA from 1 species